ACAAGCGGUGGAGUAUGUGGUUUAAUUCGAUGCAACGCGAAGAACUUACCUGGUCUUGACAUCCCGGAGACCCUUAGGAAACUAGGGGUGCUUCCAUCUGGAAGAAUCUGGAGACAGGUGCUGCAUGGCUGUCGUCAGCUCGUGUCGUGAGAUGUUGGGUUAGGUCCCGCAACGAGCGCAACCCUUGCCUUUAGUUGCCAGCAGUUCGGCUGGGCACUCUAAAGGGACUGCCGGUGUUAAACCGGAGGAAGGUGGGGAUGACGUCAAGUCCUCAUGGCCUUUAUGACCAGGGCUACACACGUACUACAAUGGCCGAUACAAAGGGCAGCGACACUGCGAGGUGAAGCCAAUCCCGUAAAAUCGGUCUCAGUCCGGAUUGGAGUCUGCAACUCGACUCCAUGAAGUUGGAAUCGCUAGUAAUCGUGGAUCAGCAUGCCACGGUGAAUACGUUCCCGGGCCUU
rnacentral:rRNA from 1 species